rnacentral:rRNA from 1 species
GAGUUUGAUCCUGGCUCAGAUUGAACGCUGGCGGAAUGCUUUACACAUGCAAGUCGAACGGCAGCACGGGGGCAACCCUGGUGGCGAGUGGCGAACGGGUGAGUAAUACCUAGGAACAUGUCCAGUAAUGGGGGAUAACGCRGCGAAAGCUGUGCUAAUACCGCAUACGCCCUACGGGGGAAAGCGGGGGAUUCGCAAGGASCUCGSGCUCAUGGAGCGGCCGAUGUCGGAUUASCUAGUUGGCGGGGUAAAGGCCCACCAAGGCUACGAUCCGUAGCUGGUUUGAGAGAACGACCAGCCACACUGGGACUGARACACGGCCCAKACUCCUACGGGAGGCAGCAGUGGGGAAUUUUGGACAAUGGGCGAAAGCCUGAUCCAGCCAUUCCGCGUGAGUGAAGAAGGCCUUCGGGUUGUAAAGCUCUUUCGGCAGGAACGAAAUGGUCGCGGUUAAUAACCGUGACUUCUGACGGUACCUGAAGAAGAAGCACCGGCUAACUACGUGCCAGCAGCCGCGGUAAUAC